rnacentral:lncRNA from 1 species
GGUCACCCUCAGGACACAGUGUACCCACCCCAGCCUCGGCCACUGCUGGAGACCUGACUCCAGAAGCACCUGCUGCUGCAGGGCCCGAGACCCCUGACUCAGCAGCCCGCUUGCUCUGUGCAGUACAGAUGCCGACUG